AUAAACGCUGGCGGCAUGCCUAAAACAUGCAAGUCGAACGUGAUCUAGCAAAAGAUUUAUCUUGAGCUAGUGAAAGUGGCGGACGGGUGAGUAACACGUGAACAAUCUACCUCUCACAGGGGGAUAGCUCCGGGAAACUGGAAAUAAUACCGCAUAAGACCACAGCAACGCAUGUUGCAGGGGUAAAAACUACGGUGGUGAGAGAAGAGUUCGCGUCUGAUUAGCUAGUUGGUGGGGUAAAGGCCUACCAAGGCGACGAUCAGUAGCCGGCCUGAGAGGGCGGACGGCCACAUUGGAACUGAGAUACGGUCCAAACUCCUACGGGAGGCAGCAGUUGGGAAUAUUGCACAAUGGGGGAAACCCUGAUGCAGCAAUGCCGCGUGAAGGAAGAAGGGCUUCGGCUUGUAAACUUCUAUCGACGGGGAAGAAAAAAAUGACGGUACCCGGGUAAGAAGCCCCGGCUAACUAUGU
rnacentral:rRNA from 1 species